rnacentral:rRNA from 1 species
GAUGAACGCUAGCUACAGGCUUAACACAUGCAAGUCGAGGGACCGGCGCACGGGUGAGUAACACGUAUCCAAUCUUCCCUUUACUCGGGGAUAGCCUUUCGAAAGAAAGAUUAAUACCCGAUAUAACGGAUGGGGAUGCGUUCCAUUAGGUUGUUGGUGUGGUAACGGCUAACCAAGCCUUCGAUGGAGAGGGGUUCUGAGAGGAAUGUGCCACACAUUGGAAGUGAGACACGGUCCAAGCUCCUACGGGAGGCAACAGUGAGGAAGAUUGGUCAAUGGGCGCUAGCCGGAACCAGCAAAGAAGCGUGAAGGAUGAAGGAUUAUGGGUCGUAAACUUCUUAUAAAUAAGAAUAUGUAUUAAAUGAAUAAGGAUCGGAUAACUCCGUGCCAGCAGCCGCGGUAAUAC